GCCAGGUGCGGUGGCUCACGCCUGUAAUCCCAGCACUUUGGGAGGCUGAGGCAGGUGGAUCACCUGAGGUCAGGAGUUCAAGACCAGCCUGGCCAACAUGGUGAGACCCUGUCUCUA
rnacentral:SRP_RNA from 1 species